AGCGCAGGCAGGAAACUAAGCGGAUCUUAAAAGUGCGGGGCUCAACCCCGUGAUGGGGUCCGAACUGGUUUUCUUGAGUGCAGGAGAGGAAAGCGGAAUUCCCAGUGUAGCGGUGAAAUGCGUAGAUAUUGGGAAGAACACCAGUGGCGAAGGCGGCUUUCUGGACUGUAACUGACGCUGAGGCUCGAAAGCUAGGGUAGCGAACG
rnacentral:rRNA from 1 species